AACGAACGCUGGCGGCGCGCCUAAUACAUGCAAGUCGAGCGAGAAGACGUAGCGAUACGUUUGUAAAGCGGCGAACGGGUGAGGAAUACAUGGGUAACCUACCCUCGAGUGGGGAAUAACUAGCCGAAAGGUUAGCUAAUACCGCGUACGUUCCUUGGACUUCGGUUCAGGGAGGAAAGCGAUACCGUGGGUAUCGCGCUCUUGGAUGGGCUCAUGUCCUAUCAGCUUGUUGGUGAGGUAACGGCUCGCCAAGGCUUCGACGGGUAGCUGGUCUGAGAGGACGAUCAGCCACACUGGCACUGCGACACGGGCCAGACUCCUACGGGAGGCAGCAGUAAGGAUAUUGCGCAAUGGGCGAAAGCCUGACGCAGCGACGCCGCGUGGGGGA
rnacentral:rRNA from 1 species